UACAGAGGUCCCGAGCGUUGUUCGGAUUCAUUGGGCGUAAAGGGUGCGUAGCGGCGGGGCAAGUCUGAUGUGAAAUCCCGGGGCUCAACCCCGGAACUGCAUUGGAUACUGCCUUGCUAGAGUACUGGAGAGGGAACUGGAAUUUACGGUGUAGCAGUGAAAUGCGUAGAGAUCGUAAGGAAGGCCAGUGGCGAAGGCGAGUUCCUGGACAGUUACUGACGCUGAGGCACGAAGGCCAGGGGAGCAAACGGG
rnacentral:rRNA from 1 species